CUACGGAGGUUGCGAGCGUUAAUCGGAAUUACUGGGCGUAAAGCGUACGUAGGCGGUUGGUUAAGUUAGAUGUGAAAGCCCCGGGCUUAACCUGGGAACUGCAUUUAAAACUGGCGAACUAGAGUUGAGUAGAGGGGAGUGGAAUUUCAGGUGUAGCGGUGAAAUGCGUAGAGAUCUGAAGGAACACCAGUGGCGAAGGCGACUCCCUGGACUCGAACUGACGCUGAGGUACGAAAGCGUGGGUAGCAAACGGGAUUAGAUACCCUAGUAGUCC
rnacentral:rRNA from 1 species